rnacentral:rRNA from 1 species
AAACAUCUCUUUUUGAGUUUAAUUUAAAGUUUAACCUGCCCACUGAAAUUUAAAUGGCCGCAGUAUUUUGACUGUGCAAAGGUAGCAUAAUCAUUAGUUUUUUAAUUGAAAGCUGGAAUGAAUGGUUGGACGAAAUAUAUACUGUUUCAAAUAAAUUUUUAAUAGAAUUUUAUUUUUUAGUAAAAAAGCUAAAAUUUUUUUAAAAGACGAGAAGACCCUAUAAAUCUUUAUAUUUAUUUAUUAUAAUUUUAAUUUAGUAUAUUAAUUUAAUUUAAUAUAAAAAUAUUUUAUUGGGGUGAUAUUAAAAUUUAAUAAACUUUUAUUAUAUUUUUACAUUAAUUAAUGUAUUUUUGAUCUUAUAUUAUUGAUUAAUAGAAUAAGUUACUUUAGGGAUAACAGCGUAAUUUUUUUGGAGAGUUCAUAUUGAUAAGAAAGAUUGCGACCUCGAUGUUGGAUUAAGAGAUAAAUUUAGGUGUAGAAGCUUAAAAUUUGAGUCUGUUCGACUCUUAAUUUCUUCU